GAGAGAGAGAGAGAGAAAGAGACGUUAAAUUGCUAUUUUUAGUUACUGAUUGAAGCAAACAUCUUCCUAGAUAAUGGCUACUUCUAGCUAGAAAUAAGGUUGUAUAUCUUAAAUAAUAAUUAUGCUAGCUUUACUAGGAAAAUCAAUAGAAAGAGAAUUUAUGAGAAACCCUUAAUCAAUAAAUGCAUAAAAAUAUUUUUCAAUUUUAUUUCCUUUUUUACACCAUUAUAACACUUCCUGAUGAAAUUAAUUCAUAAGAAAAAAAAAAUGGCCUUAUAUCGGAGGCUAUAAAUUGUCAAUUAAUAAUGUUGCUUAAUGCUAAUGUCAUGGUGUCACUUUGAUGGUAGCAUUCCAGACUUACAAAACAUGGCUUUCAUCUUCAACACAUUGUGUUGACUGUAUCAUUCAUGAUGAUGUGUGUUUUUGGGCUAAAACCAGUAAGGUUUAACUACAAUUAUCAAUAUUGCAGCAACUGAUCCUGCUUCAAGUA
rnacentral:misc_RNA from 1 species